rnacentral:rRNA from 1 species
CCUACGGGAGGCAGCAGUGGGGAAUAUUGCUCAAUGGCCGUAAGGCUGAUCCAGCCAAGUCGCGUGAAGGAAGAAGGAUCUAUGGUUUGUAAACUUCUUUUAUAGGGGAAUAAAGGUAUCCACGUGUGGAUAUUUGCAUGUACCCUAUUAAUAAGCAUCGGCUAACCCCGGGCCAGCAGCCGCGGUAAUACGGAGGAUGCGAGCGUUAUCCGGAUUUAUUGGGUUUAAAGGGUGCGUAGGGUGUUUGUUAAGUCAGCUGUGAAAGUUUGUGGCUCAACCAUAAAAUUGCCGUUGAAACUGGAAGACUAGAGUGUGUGUGGGGGAGGCGGAAGGCGAGGUGUAGCGGUGAAAUGCAUAGAUAUCACGCAGAACACCGAUUGCGAAGGCAGCUUACUAGGCCAUAACUGACACUGAAGCACGAAAGCGUGGGGAUCAAACAGGAUUAGAUACCCCUGUAGUC